GGUGGUAACUUCUUGUCAAAAGAACAGCAAAACAUUGAAAGUCCGAUGAAAACUGGAAGCAGGAGUACUGAAGCAGGGAAGGCUUGGUCAAAAGAAAAACAGAAGAUUGAACCUCCAAGGAAAACAGUUAGCACGGAAACAGAUCAGCAAUCAUCAAAGCAGCAACUAAAGGGUUACUCUCCGGUGAGAACUGAAAACAGUAGUACUCAACCAGUUCAGCUAAUAUCAAAAGAACAACAAAAGAUUGAGCUUCCGAACAAAAUUGUUAGCACCCCAGAAGAGUGUCGUUUGUUGUCGAAUGAGAAGCAAAAGGGUCUUAUCAAGCUGGAAACCAGCUAUGGGAGCCCAAUUGAGAAGAAAUCGGACUCCCCAAUGAAAACCAGCAAUGCUCCUAAACAAGAUCAAUAUACAGAUAACAGCAGUCUUGGACAAGGAAGGAAAUUAUUGCUUAAAGGACAACAAAAGGAUGUUGUAAAGCUAGAGGGCAUCAACAAAGAUAACAUACAAACAUCGCCAAACCAUACAGAUAUGAAUAAAAGCGGCACUGUACAUGCAUCAAGUGAGCAGCAAAAGGGACUUCUAAGGCAAGAUGAUAUCUGUGAAGCUCGUAGAGACACAAGGCAAUCCAACAAAAACAACUGGUAGCUUGGAACAAGCAGAGGUGCCCUUUGUCAAAUGAUAAAAAAAAAAAAAAAAUUGUUAUUCACAAGACAUCCAACACGAAAGAUAAGUUUGUUUUUUCAUUUAAUUUUAUACUCCUUUUAUAUAAAUUGAAGAUUUUUUUAAUGUGAAAUUUUAAGUUCUCUAAAAUACUUUGUUCUUCAAAUACUAUUUACCUGGAAUACUUAUUAUUUCUUCGCUGGUCAGUUUCUGCAAUUUUCUCUUUUACAACUUAAACAAAUUAUCAGAAUACUUCAUACGCAUUAUUGACACCCCAUAUUAUCUCUAAAAGAGUACUGCA
rnacentral:lncRNA from 1 species